rfam:Candidatus Giovannonibacteria bacterium RIFCSPHIGHO2_02_FTLL_46_20 rifcsphigho2_02_scaffold_4029, whole genome shotgun sequence.
GCCACCCUAGCUCAAUGGCAGAGCAACUGUUUUGUAAACAGUAGGUUCGCGGUUCGAAUCCGCGGGGUGGCU